rnacentral:ncRNA from 1 species
UGAAAUGCGAUGACGGAGACUAGUAUGCGGAAUCACCGCUUGUCAGGGAGAAGCUGCCUUAGACUGAAAGCAGCUUUGAAGCGCGCCCCGUAGAAUUCCCUCCUGAGCAGCCCUCUUAAUGGCAGUUUGCCUAGUAGGAGGAAUCGGGUCAUUCCCGUUAUCAAUGAUGGAGAGAAGUGCGUAGGGAAUCUGUAUCCUGUGCACUUAAUCAGGGUGGUACCGCGAAUAACUCGUCCCUUUU